GAAACUGGGUAUAAUACCCGAUAGGUCUCGAUUGCUGGAAUGCAUCGAGAUUUAAAGCUCCGGCGCCUAAGGAUGGGUCUGCGGCCUAUCAGGUAGUAGUGGGUGUAGCGUACCUACUAGCCUACGACGGGUACGGGUUGUGAGAGCAAGAGCCCGGAGAUGGAUUCUGAGACACGAAUCCAGGCCCUACGGGGUGCAGCAGGCGCGAAAACUUUACAAUGCUGGCAACAGCGAUAAGGGAACCUCGAGUGCCAGGUUACAAAUCUGGCUGUCGAGAUGCCUAAAAAGCAUUUCAUAGCAAGGGCCGGGCAAGACCGGUGCCAGCCGCCGCGGUAACACCGGCGGCUCGAGUGGUAACCGUUAUUAUUGGGUCUAAAGGGUCUGUAGCCGGCCGGAUAAGUCUCUUGAGAAAUCUGGCAGCUUAACUGUCAGGCUUUCAGGAGAUACUGUCUGGCUCGAGGCCGGGAGAGGUGAGAGGUACUUCAGGGGUAGGGGUGAAAUCUUGUAAUCCUUGAAGGACCACCAGUGGCGAAGGCGUCUCACCAGAACGGACCUGACGGCAAGGGACGAAAGCUAGGGGCACGAACCGGAUUAGAUACCCGGGUAGUCCUAGCCGUAAACGAUACUCGCUAGGUGUCGGCCACGGUGCGACCGUUGUCGGUGCCGUAGGGAAGCCGUGAAGCGAGCCACCUGGGAAGUACGGCCGCAAGGCUGAAACUUAAAGGAAUUGGCGGGGGAGCACCACAACGGGUGGAGCUUGCGGUUUAAUUG
rnacentral:rRNA from 1 species